UUCUAAUAUGGCAGAUUAGUGCAAUGGAUUUAAGCCCCAAGUAUAAAGUUUAAACUUUUUUUAGAAA
rnacentral:tRNA from 2 species